UACAGGGGGUGCAAACGUUGCUCGGAAUUACUGGGCGUAAAGGGCUCGUAGGUGGCCAACUAAGUCAGACGUGAAAUCCCUCAGCUUAACUGGGGAACUGCGUCUGAUACUGGAUGGCUUGAGUUUGGGAGAGGGAUGCGGAAUUCCAGGUGUAGCGGUGAAAUGCGUAGAUAUCUGGAGGAACACCGGUGGCGAAGGCGGCAUCCUGGACCAACACUGACACUGAGGAGCGAAAGCCAGGGGAGCAAACGGG
rnacentral:rRNA from 1 species